GCCGCGAUGGAAAAUGUUAAGAUUCCAACAAAAGUUCUUCUGGAUGCUAUUAUGCAAUAGGUUGGCCUUCAAGCGCAAGUUACUCAACAGACAAGGCAAGCACCGUUGGUCUUGAGUCAAGUGUUCAGUUCUAUCCAUCUGAGUACCGGUUGAAUAAUGGAAAGUAUUGAUGACUAUACUCGGAGCAAGCCUUGUCGCGACGCUGCAAGUGUUGCCCCCCUCCUCCCAAAGGGCAAGGUGAAGGAAGGUGCCUGUGUGGUUCUUCUGCAGCUCGCAGCGAGGAUUGUUGUGUCCAACCUGCACAAGAAUGCCAAGAAGUCCUUCUCGAAGACGAUUAAGGACAUGUACAAGCACUACAACGAGAGAUCUGGGUUGCUUCUUUGUGGCUUCCAAACUUGGAAAUGUUUGUCUGAAAGUUAGUUUAGUUUCUUUUUUGUGGAUUCACAGCUUCUCACAUGUACCAUCCUCUUAGACAUUUAGGUUUCCAAAGAAAUUAAAUGAAGAUAUGGUGGUAUGGUCUCAA